UUCACAACUCUUAGUACAAACUCAAAACAUGAAGCCCUCUCUAAGGAGCCCUCAGAGAGGUGGACAUCAGAGAGAUGGAGGCAGGCGGCAGGGAACUGUUGUAUCUAAUGAAGUCCGGUCCAUCGUCGUUGAUCAUGUGGUCAACAGAGGUCUGACCAUGACAGAGGACGACACAUUAGUUCACCCCAAUCUGAAAAGAUCAACUGGCAAAUUCCAUCAUGAGAACAUUUCACUAAGAAAAGCGAAUAGACAGAAGACCCCAUGGUGGUGGUCGCGUGCUGACUGACCAGCAGGAGAGGACAGUGGAGGAAAUGGUGAGGGACAGGAAUGAUACACUGACCAGCAGGAGAGGACAGUGGAGGAAAUGGUGAGGGACAGGAAUGAUACACUGACCAGCAGGAGAGGACAGUGGAGGAAAUGGUGAGGGACAGGAAUGAUACACUGACCAGCAGGAGAGGACAGUGGAGGAAAUGGUGAGGGACAGGAAUGAUACACUGACCAGCAGGAGAGGACAGUGGAGGAAAUGGUGAGGGACAGGAAUGAUACACUGACCAGCAGGAGAGGACAGUGGAGGAAAUGGUGAGGGACAGGAAUGAUACACUGACCAGCAGGAGAGGACAGUGGAGGAAAUGGUGAGGGACAGGAAUGAUACACUGACCAGCAGGAGAGGACAGUGGAGGAAAUGGUGAGGGUCAGGAAUGAUACACUGACCAGCAGGAGAGGACAGUGGAGGAAAUGGUGAGGGACAGGAAUGAUACACUGACCAGCAGGAGAGGACAGUGGAGGAAAUGGUGAGGGACAGGAAUGAUACAUAUACUAUAUACUAUUCAGGUACAUCACUAUAUACUGUAUACUAUUCAGGUACAUCACUAUAUACUAUUCAGGUACAUCACUAUAUAC